rnacentral:lncRNA from 1 species
UGAAAUGGCAAGUGAAUACGUGAAUCUUUGACAUUUUUUCACAUUGAUUUGCAGAAUAUUUUCUGUGAAGUUAUGGCGCUUUUCCACUGCAUGGUACGGUACGGUUCGGUACGGCACGGCACGCUUUGGCGCUUUUCCACUGCAUGGUACGGUACGGCUCGGUUCGGUACGGCUCAGUUAUGGCGCAUUUCCACUGCAUGGUACGGUACGGUACGGCUCGCUUCGGCUCGCUUUAAAUGGUACCACCUCUGUUGAGGUUCCAAACGUACCGUACCGAUACUAAAAUGUGACGUAAAAACACUGCAGAUCACUGAUUGGUCAGACAGAAUCGUCACUACCAGCGUUGUAUUUGCGACACGAGACACUAAAACCCGCUAGAUUUAAAUAGCCAGACAACAGCCAACGCGGUAGCACCUGUUUUUAGAGUAUUUACUUGAUAAAAGAAUUUUAAAAAUUUCAAAAAAGAAAUGGCUGAAUCGUGGUCAGUGGACGAGGUGCAGACGUUCCUCUUGUUGGUUGCCGAGGAGCGGAUCCAGCGAGAGCUGGAUGGGGCGACACGGAAUGAAAAAGUGUUCCAAGAGUAGCACCAGCUCUUAGCCGCACACGGCUACCACCGCAAACAGAAACAGUGUAGGGACAAAUUAAAAAAAUGAAAAAGUGACUACCGAGCCAUAAAGGAUCACAACGGCCGGAGUGGUGCAAACAGAAGAACGUGGAAGUGGUUCGACCAAAUGGACGCUAUCUACGGAAGUCGACCUGCGAGCAAUGGGAGAGAGGGUGCCCUGGACUCGGCCACCUCGUUGUUGGACAACACAAUCGAGGAUGGUAUGUAAAGUUGUGUACAAUAUAUUAAUGUAUGCCUAUUCUAUUAUUAUGUAAAUGUUCUGGAUUUGUUAUUGUUGCUAGUUUGAUUUGUGUUGCUGUAAUUUGUGCAUUAACAAACAUUGUACAAACUUUUUGUUUCAGAUGCACUGUCUAUGAUUGACUCGUUAGAACUUUCUCCGUGCAGUGAUGCCUCAACGUCCCAACUGGUGAUAGCAGCGUCACCACCAGCAACCUCCAGCAGCACCAGCAGGACACCAGAGCGUGUGGUACCAGGCAAGAGGAAACGGAACAUGCACCAUCAGGAGCAUCUUGCUGUUUUAAGAGAGAUGCAGGUGGCUGAUAUUCAACAGCAGGAACUGAACCGGGCACAGAGGGAGCUACAUUUGCAGAUGGCAAUAGAUGAGGCCCGGCAAGCAAGGGAGCAGGAAGCGGCCUUAAGGAGGGAGGAAAAUGCACAAACGGCUGCAUUCAAUCAAGCCUUUCUCAACGUCAUGGGGAUGCUUGUACAGGCGAUGAGUAACAGAACAGAACAGUGACAGAACUGACAAGAACAGAACUCUCUGCCCGACUAAAACCUCCCUAGUCCAUACUUCACGGAAAUAGUUAAUUUUUUAACUUGUUUUUCCUGUGAAUGUUUUUCUACUACAUACGUUUGUGCACAACAUUUAAAGUUUGUUUAGUGUAAAUUUUUUACUUUUAAAUGUUUAUAUAUGUCUUAUUUAUAUAUUUUUUUGCACUACAUACAUUUUCAUAUUUAAAGUUUGCUUGGUGUACAUUCUUUACUUUUAAAUUUGUCUUUAUAUAUGUCUUUAUAUUUUCUUUAUAUACAUUUUUUGCACUACAUACAUUAGUACUUUGUUUAACGUUUAAUCUGUUUACAUUUUUCUUAAAUAAAAUUUACUUGUCAA